CCUACGGGAGGCAGCAGUGAGGAAUAUUGGUCAAUGGACGAGAGUCUGAACCAGCCAAGUAGCGUGAAGGAUGACUGCCCUAUGGGUUGUAAACUUCUUUUAUAAAGGAAUAAAACGAGGCACGUGUGCCUUUUUGUAUGGACUUUAUGAAUAAGGAUCGGCUAACUCCGUUCCAGCAGCCGCGGUAAUACGGAGGAUCCGAGCGUUAUCCGGAUUUAUUGGGUUUAAAGGGAGCGUAGAUGGGUUGUUAAGUCAGUUGUGAAAGUUUGCGGCUCAACCGUAAAAUUGCAAUUGAUACUGGCAGUCUUGAGUACAGUUGAGGUAAGCGGAAUUCGUGGUGUAGCGGUGAAAUGCUUAGAUAUCACGAAGAACCCCGAUUGCGAAGGCAGCUUACUAAACUGUGACUGACAUUGAUGCUCGAAAGUGUGGGUAUCAAACAGGAUUAGAUACCCUAGUAGUC
rnacentral:rRNA from 1 species